GAGAGAGACAUGCGCGCAUAUCAAUAAGCGGAGGAAAAGAAACUAACAAGGAUUCCCCUAGUAACGGCGAGUGAAGCGGGAAGAGCUCAAAUUUGAAAUCUUAAAGGGUUUCCCUUUACGAAUUGUAGUUUAAAGAAGUGUUUUCUGUUGAGGUUUUGGUAAAAGUUCUUUGGAAUAGGACAUCAUAGAGGGUGAGAAUCCCGUAUUUGACCUUUACUUUCAACUUUGUGAUACACUUUCAAAGAGUCGGAUUGUUUGGGAAUGCAGUCCAGAAUGGGUGGUAAAUUUCAUCUAAAGCUAAAUAUAGGCGAGAGACCGAUAGCGAACAAGUACCGUGAGGGAAAGAUGAAAAGAACUUUGAAAAGAGAGUUAAACAGUACGUGAAAUUGUCAAAAGGGAAGCGUUUGACACCAGUGUUGUUUUUCUGAAAAUCAAUUAAAGAACUGUUUAUGCUAAGCUGUUUAGACUUUAUCAGCUAACUGUUUAGUUUUGAGCUUUUCUUUAAUGCACUUUUCAGUUAACAAGUCAACAUCAAUUUCUUUUGCUGUAAAAAAGCUUGAGGAAGGUGGCUUGAGAUUCGUCUUAAGUGUUUAUAGCCUCUUGCCUAUGCAGUCGGAGAGAUUGAGGUCUGCAGCGUAGAUCCUUCGGGGCUAAAUGCAUUUGUGCUAAGUUAUAGCAUUUUAUAGACAACUUGUUGACUAUGAUUUGUCUUGUAGCUUACUCGCUUAUGUUAUUUUACCUACGCUUAGGAUGUUGAGCGCAUGUCUCUCUCU
rnacentral:rRNA from 1 species